GAUCCCGUGAUUGGAGACUGGGGAGUCUGAGCUUUCAUCCCUGCCCACAGACCCUGGGGCUAGUAUAAAUUCCACUAUUCGGCGAGGGGUUGGCAAUUUGAGAAAGUUCCGCGCAGUUCAACACUGUGGUCGCCCCGCGCCUUUCGGCCUUUUCGGUGAAGCCGCUUCCGCGAAAAAACCACAUUGGAAUUUUCUGCCAAGAUGCUUCGAGUCACAUUGAUAUGCAGCGUCAUCUUCUUUCUGCUGGUCAGCACGAAGAUUCCUGUGGAUGCGAGAUACCUGCCCACCAGAAGCAUGGACGACCGCCUCAAUCGUCUCAGAGAAUUGCUCAGAGAUCUCUCUUUCGUCGAUAGAAAUGACAGACCUCACUCGGGAUCGAAUCCGGAGUUGGGACCCGAGACAGACGCCUCUAGUAGCCAGGUGGACCCCCUCUUCUACUCCUUCGAUUCGCAAAGACUCCCCUUACCACGACGAUUUACCGGGACUAGCACCAACUAAUGGUAUUCAUCUCAUUCGGGUCACCAGCACACCAACUUUAGACCUUCGUUGUUGCUCCUCAACCGCGUUGUCGACUUAUACAUGUCCAUGCCGUCUUUUUCAUGUUGUUUUUCCAUGUUGUAUUUUGCCCUGACCAUUGAAGUGUUGAAUCAUGACUGUUAAAUAUUGUAAAAAAAACCGACUUAUUUCCUCUCCGACUUACAAGAUUUUGGGGGAUGGAUCGAGUUCCAAAGGAAGAGACCUAGUAACUACCAGGGCACGUUUACAGCAGUGUCUAAUUGCAAAGGAAGAUCAAUGGUAGGUGAGUUGUUUCUGAAGUGAACCAAGAAAAUCAGUCUCUUCUUGCUAAACUCGGUUUAUGCAGGGCUCUCGAGAAAAAAUAAAAAAAUUUGUCUACCUUGAAGGAACUCUAAAUUUAGAGGUUGUAAAACAAUUUCCACCUAAAAUUUAGCUCUGUUCUUUUAUCCUCUCUAUCUUUGAUUGAUUGCAAAAUUUAAGUACUCUAAAAGUUCCAAAACGUAAGUGUGUAAGAACAAAAUUCCUUUAUGUUCAAUGUUAAGGCGGAAAUAUUGUUUUUAAAAAAAUGGAAACACUGCAUCACCAAUUAUGUUUUCUUUUUUAUUCAACUGAUUGUUAAUUGUGUAAAGAAAGAGCCUUCUCUUUGAAAUGUUACUAGUAAAAAACUAAGCAUACAGUUUCAUACGUAAAACUUGACUCUACGUCCUUUAGCCCACAAAAUAAUCGCAGUUUAUAACAGAAAAUUAUAAUCUCUAAUGGAAAGUUUAAAUCCGAACUCUCCAGUUCUUCCUUGAUGAGAUUAUCUUUCCAAAAUGGAAUUUUUUGUCAUUUUCGGAUCAAAAUUUCAAUAAAAUAGAAAAAUCCACGAGAGUCCAAGCUGCUUUUUGUUUCUCUUCUUCUGCCUCUACUUCUUACUUUUAUCUAAUUUCAUUUGAUCACUCGCAUCCGAUAAGUUUUCUUUUUAUUAUUAGAUUGCAAAUUCACGAUAGAAGUUAGCAGACCGGGAAAAAAUUGCAAUAGAGGAACUGGGUGCUGAAUUUGUCUUUGCUAUCGAUAAAACACUUUCUGUUUCCUUCGCAUAAUUCAUAACCCAUCCCUUACAGCUGCCCAUCCGCAUAGCGCAGACUACGUUAUUUUGCUGUAGAGGACCUGGUCCCUCCAUCACCUGGAGAGUCGGGGGAAGGGAAGGUAUUGAAUACCCUCAGCUCAAAGGGGGAUCCGGUAGGAAAUUUUAACUCUAUUUUGAUCCAUUUUUAAGCUUCCGUCACGCAAAUUUUCCAUUAGUUACUGCAAAAAAAUAUAUUAUUUUAAGUAUAUUUUCAGCUCAAAAUGUUUUCUAAUUUUUACAAGAGUUAUCGUUAACGAAGAUUUUAUUACUUCGAAUAAAAUUUGGGGGGAGGCAGAUUAUACUAUUUUCAGUACGGGGGGGGGGCACUGGGGCAGGCCCCCUUGAACCACCCUUGCUACGUUCUUGCUGAUUGUGUAAGUCCACGUGUAUGAAAGCAAUGCACGUGUAACCCUCUAUCCUACCACAUUUGGGAUUGUAACAAUGAAAAAUCAUUAAUAGCUGUCAUGCAUGUUAGAGUUUUUUUUUCUUUACUCAUGUACUCAUAGACGAUUCUGAGAUUUUUUUCUAUAUAUUUCUUGAUCACAGAUUCUUCCGUUAUUAUUCGAUCAUUAUUUUAUAUAUCACAAUUUCAUAAUACACCAUUGAUUACAUACUGUGAAUGAAUAGCUUAUAAAGCACACAUUUAUUUUCAGUUUCAAUUUUAUUUUAUAGCUAUCUAUAUUCAUGAUACACGUCCGGCACAUUUUAAUUGCUAGCUGUCACCGACAUUCUCCGCUAUCAUCAAAUUGUUGAUAAUUAUUUUAAAAUUAUUAUCUUUUAAAGUGACAAUCAGCUUCUCUCAAAAGGUUCAUGAAUAUUCCCUCCAUCUGAAAUUAUCAACAUAAAACCACUGGACCGGCCGCACAAAACUUAAUACCAAAAAGAGAACUGUACUUGUACCUUUUUUUCAUUUUAAACAAAAGGCAAAAAUGUUGCGUUAGGGUGGAACUUAUUCUUUGCGGAAUGUAUGUACAUUUAAGAAAAAAGACAUAAUAUAAGAUAUACAUGUAUAAUGUCGUAUAAUUGCUUAUUUAGUUCCUCUGACCUUAACUGCAAGGAAAACUGUAAUUUAUAAAGUUUGUCUGAUUGGAGCAACAAUUUUCCUUUUUCAUCGCAUGUUUUUUUCUAAAGCUAUUUUUUUAUAUUUGUACCAUACUUGUUUGAAAGCUGUUGUCAAGCUCUUAAAAACACUUCUCAGAUAUUUGACGAUAAAAUGUUUCAAUAAAAACAGUUCUCCUCGAUUUCAUUAGUGCUUUAUUUUUUUGCAGCAAAAAUAACUCCCAGCUUAAUGAAACCGUUAUAGCGGUCAGUAGAGUUGGCUAUUAAAUUGUAUUACGGACAAAAA
rnacentral:lncRNA from 1 species